AUGACCCACAUAAGUUGGAAGAGCUUGGGAGUAUGCUUACCAGUUUGGAUGCUGGGGAUUCCAUUGUAGUCACCAAAGCCUUUUCUAACAUGCUUAACUUGGGUAACCUUGCUGAAGAGGUUCAGAUAGCUUACAGACGAAGAAGUAAGCUAAAAAAGCGUGAUUUUUCGGAUGAGGCUUCUGCACUAACUGAAUCAGACAUUGAAGAGACUUUUAAGAAGCUCGUCGGACAGCUAAACAAAUCACCCCAAGAAGUUUUUGAUGCUUUGAAGA
rnacentral:misc_RNA from 1 species